rnacentral:misc_RNA from 1 species
AAAAAAGAGACUCGUACAUUGCGAUCUUGAUUAUUAUCUCCCACGAAAACUGAACUUAGUAUUUUCGACACGAAGAAUAUAAUAAACAUUCCUAUGAUGAAGUCAUUAAAAGCUCUUCUAAUAAUUCAACUCCCAAGUCUUGAAAAACAAAAACAUUUUCCAAAUUCUCAUUCUUCUUCUUUCUACUACUUCUCUUGUGCUUGACUCUUCUAGUUUUAUGAGUAGCUUUUAAAACAGCAGCUGGAGAUAAUCCAUCUUUACAAGAAUACUCAAUAUUUU